GCCUUCGUGGUGCAGUGGUCAGCACGCUCGACGCGUAACCGAGAGGUCCGUGGUUCGAUUCCCGGAGAAAGCG
rnacentral:tRNA from 1 species